CUAGCCCAGAUGGGAGGAAUAGCCUCUUCUCAUGAGACGGGCUUCUAUAGUUCCACUAUUCAGGACGAAAGGUCUCCGGAUCCGUGUUUUCCUGACCCCUUCCCUGAUUCCUCCGAUAUAUACCCCGUGGCUAUUUGACCUUCUCUAUCCUCUCUCUUUCUCGCUCCAGCAUUUUUCUCUCCCCCACUCACAAACGCAUGCCUUUCCUCUAGCCUAAAAAAAAAAAUCACUUUCUAACUUCAAAACACAAUGAAUUUUGGUUCUCUGUUGUUUUCUUGUCGUUUUUUCCCCCUGCAUCGUUGGAUUAAACGUUGACCAAACAUCAGAUGCCUUCUAAUCUCCAUGUUGAUCUCUGUUUCUGACCCCAAACCAAAAACCUGGUUCUUCUUCCUUUCCCCCAACACGCUACGGCUUUUACCUUCAUCUUUUCUCCUUCCUCUAUCUUACCAUGACUCAAUGACCCCUUUGCUCCUUUCCUUUUCUUGCCUGUGACCCCUAGUCCCUGAGCCUCCCCCUCUCUCCAGCCUCCCCAACCUCAGACUCGACUGGCAAAAAAACCCCACACAUCUCUCUCCAUCUCUCAGUCUCCAAAACUCAUGCCUCUGCUAUCUUCCUUUCUUACUUUUCUUGUUUUUGCUUUUCUCUCUAUCUCUAUGCGACGCUUAUAGUUCUGUUUUACAGUCUUGUUUUCCGGAAUCUCGUCGUGGGGUCGGUAUGGGUGUCGGCGUCGGUGUCGUCGUAGUGUUUCCGAUUAUUUUCCCCUCCCUGUUUUAUCCUGGCUUCUCCUUUAGAUCAUAAAUUUCUUUUUCUCCAUUAACGCCGCACUUUUCACUUUGUUUUUAAAAUCACACCUUUUGACAACUUUAUCAUGUAGACUAAAGACCUAAGACUAGGUUCUGCGUCGCAAAGUUUCUCCACCCGACAAUGUGCGUGUGAGAUAUCACAGAUGACCGUGGUAACGUUUGACUAAAUCGAAUUGAUUUAAAUUGCGUUUAUACUCCUUUUAUUAAGCCUUAAACAGACUGUAAUCUGUGUUUUUAUGUCGUCUCGAAGUCCUUGGUCUAAAACCCUGUGCAUGUGCUGCUUGUGCUUGUGCUCCAGCCGCCGCGCUUCAGUUCCGCGCUCUCCCCGCAUUCGAGCUCUCUCUGAGCCGCCUGUGUCAUGACGGAGACCCGGGGCUCCCUUCCGUCUUUCUCCCUGACACACACUCACACACACACUCUCUCUCUUUACACUAAACAUUCUCACACACGCACACACACACACACACACACACACACACAUGAUCGAUCUACAAGCAAGCGAGCAAAGGAAUCGUCUCAGAAAAAAAAAGCAAAGAAAUAAUAAUAAUAUUAAUAAUAAUAUUAAUAACAAUAAUAUUAAUAAUAAUGAUGAUGAUGAUGAUGAUGGUGAUAGUCAUAAAAGAAACAAAGUGACGCGGGAGAAAAAGUACAGAAAGGAACUGAAAUGCAAAGCAGGGCGGAGAGAAAACGCCACUAAAACCGCUGUGUGUGGGGGGAAAAGUAAAGAUGUGCAGAAAUUAAGAGGAAAAAAAAGGAUAUUGGAGACAUUGUGGAUGUGGAUGUGUGAAAACACGGCAGUAUGAAAGGAUAAAGGGGGGAAAUGUUCGCGUAGUUCUCUGCGCUUCCCGAUCACCGGACGCGGACGGAGCGACGGGCCGGACUAAAGCGUUUGUUUCCCGGGUUGCCAGCAGUCUCAGCUCCCGCUGGCCUUCCGGCUACUCUACGGACGCGCUUCGCCUUCGACUCGGCGCACAAAACACACCAUUCGACACCAUUCAGUCGUUUUGGGAGUCGUCGAAACGCAGAAAUACGUUUUAAAUCCGCGGUUUGUGGUCAACUGGAAGAAAAGGAACCGCUGUGUUUUGCCCCUUUUUUCUUUCCUUCCUUCCAUUCGCGAGAAGAUCGAGGACGAAGCCCGAGGUGUAAACACAGUGAACCCUGGCAGGCGUGAGGAAAAGCCAGAAAAGCCUGGCUGCUAGGAGCUGGUGUUGGAAGUGAGAAAAAGAAACGUCGCGAAAUCGGAAAGAUAGAAAGAGAAACGCGGAGAGAGAGAAAGCAAAGUUGGAACUUACAAUGUUUUUGCUGCCGCUUUGAGAUCCUUCGCUUUGCUUUUUAAUCCAGUAUUGAGACGUUUUGGCUAAAGAUCCCAUCAAGGCAAGUCCCUUUUGGUCAGUUUGCGUUUAGGAUGCUAAAAGAAAGAUCAUUGUUGUUGCGGCGAGUGGAGAAGGAGAGAAAAAGCCGAAGUAUUAGUUGUAAAGGCAAUAUAAAAAUAAUUUGGAUGCAAAGCGGGCGAUGAGUCUCGUGUUAGAGGGAGAGAGGAAGAGGUGAAAGUGAGAUCUGAUGAUUGAAAAGGAAAAAAAAAACUCUUUGGAUCUUUAUUCCUGCUAAUUAGUUUCCUGCAAAAAAAAUGGCUGUGAUUAAUUCAGUGCGCAUGUGCUUCAUUACACAGGCACGACGGGAAGGGCUAAUUAGCCACCUUCUGGAUCAAUAAGAUUCAGCAAAGGAGAGCGCGAGGGAGAGAGAGAGGGAGGGAGGGAGAGGGAGUAAGAGGGAGGGAGGGAUGGAUAGAAAAGAGAAAAAGAGGAAAGUAAUGAUCAGGAAUUGAAAAUAUGGAAUUAAGCGCGCCGGAAAGGAAAAAAAGUAAGAGUUUGAUUAGAGGCAGAAAAGAGAGAGAGAGAGAGAGAGAGAGAGAGAGAGAGAGAGAGAGAGAGAGAGAGAGAGAGAGAGAGA